AGGGUGUAAACGCUGCAGACUUGGUGUUGGAAGUCCUUUGGGGGCAUUCAGUGCCGGAGAGAAGUUGUUAAGUCUGCUACUUGGGGAGUACGUCCGCAAGGAUGAAACUUAAAGGAAUUGGCGGGGGGAGCACCGCAACGGGAGGAGCGUGCGGUUUAAUUGGAUUCAACACCGUAAAACUCACCAGGGAAGACUGUUACAUGAAGGCCGAGAUGAAGACUCUGCUAGAUUUUCAGAGAGGAGGUGCAUGGCGUCAGUGACU
rnacentral:rRNA from 1 species